rnacentral:rRNA from 1 species
AGAGCGAACGCUGGCGGCAGGCCUAAAACAUGCAAGUCGAACGGACCCUUCGGGGUUAGUGGCGGACGGGUGAGUAACACGUGGGAACGUGCCUUUUGGUUCAGAACAACUCAGGGAAACUUGAGCUAAUACUGAAUAAGCCCUACGGGGGAAAGAUUUAUCGCCAUUAGAGCGGCCCGCGUUGGAUUAGCUAGUUGGUGAGGUAAAGGCUCACCAAGGCUACGAUCCAUAGCUGGUCUGAGAGGAUGAUCAGCCACACUGGGACUGAGACACGGCCCAGACUCCUACGGGAGGCAGCAGUUAGGAAUCUUGCGCAAUGGGCGAAAGCCUGACGCAGCCAUGCCGCGUGAAUGAUGAAGGUCUUAGGAUUGUAAAAUUCUUUCAGCGGGAAGAUAAUGACUGUACCGCAGAAGAAGCUCCGGCUAACGUUCGCGCCAGCAGCCGC